rnacentral:tRNA from 1 species
GGAGCCAUAGCUCAGCGGGAGAGCACCUGCUUCACGAGCAGGGGGUCGUGGGUUCGAAACCCUCUGGCUCCACCA